CUUGGGCUCGAACUUCUUGGCGGCCUCGAGGUUGUCGUAGAUGAGGCCGAAGCCAGUGGACUUGCCUCCUCCGAAGUGGGUGCGGAACUUGAAGACGAAGAUGGUGUUAGGGUCCUUCACCUCGUAAACCUUGGCUAGCCUCUCCUUCAGCUCAGCCUACACAGAGAGAGCACACAGAAACCCUGAGAUCCAGGACAAAAUCACACGAUACAACAGCAGCGCGUACAGGAUGGGGUGUCGAGAUCUCACCUUGGAGACGUUGGCCCGGCCGGGGUGGAUCACCUCGAGCACCUGCAAGGUAGAGUGAGAAAAGGGACGAUUUAAUGCUGGAGGGAGAUAAACAGAUGGAUACCGAGAGCGGCGGGGAGAUGUAUGGUGCUUACGAAUUGCUUGCGGGAGAGGAGGCGAUUGGUCAUGAACUUGCGGGUGCGGAGGGUGACCGCCGUGCUGGCCUUGGAGUCCGCCAUGGUUGGGAGAUGGAGGUGGACGCGCCGCCGCCGGGAAGAGAGGGGGAGUUGGUUGCGCGAGAGGAGCGAGGGUUAAGGGCUGGCUGGCGGC
rnacentral:lncRNA from 1 species